rnacentral:lncRNA from 1 species
GGGAUCCGGAGAUGCCGGGGGGCUGACGGGUGAGAACGACAGGGAGCCGUAAGGGCUUCGUUGCCUCUGCCCACCAGGAAGCGCAGCUUUGAAAAAUUAGAAGGCAAGCAUCUAAUGGCGCAGAGACUUAAACAUAUAUCGCUGCUUUCGGGCUGAUAAGGGCCGUUUAAUCUUCUUUAUAAAGGCCGGCGCCAGAGCGGAGACCCGGAGCGCACAGGCGGCGCGAAAGACACCCGAGUGUUCUGUUUUCAGCCUCUGGUCGCUUCCCUCCCCGGGGGUGGCCCGCGGUCCAUAUUUACAAGUGUUCGCAGGAUUGGAUUGGAUUGUGACGCCGUGCUGCGACUGGAGGUUUGGAUUUUGAGCGAUGGACGCUGGCAUCCGAACUUGGAGUAUUCAUUCCCGCAGAAGGCCGAGAAAACACCAGCGCCGCGAGUGUAUAGACCCCUGUUUCUCCAGCAGGGGGCAGCUUGGGAUUCCCUGAGCAGCGGAUCGGAGGGGGAGGAGCCAGAAGUCACACAGUACCAGAUCCUACCACUAAGGUGGAUGAGGACACAGCAUCGUGUUUUUGACAAAAUAGCCAUAAACAUUUGGUCAAUGAGGAGUGACCAAAAGAUAGGGUAAGUAUUCAAACUUAAAAAUUUAUGACAGUAAAAGACAUUUCACUAAUCAUCUUCAGAUACUCAGAAUACUCCCCCUCGCUUUGAACUUGUGUAUCCCAUAGUUCUUGGGAAUGCGUCUUUCACUAUAAGUUUUUGGCUUUGAUCCCUGCUCAGCUCACUUCUCUUUCCCCUUUACAGCAAAGUUACUUGACACAGUGGCCUCUAUUGGCUCUCUGCACUUAUUUCUUCACCUCC